rnacentral:rRNA from 1 species
UGAAUACGAGAUGCUACGGCAUCGAAGCAGUCUAUGUCAUACUUCCAAGAAAAGCUUGCACUGUCAUAAACAAAUAAUGCCUGUACCAUAACCGACACAGGUGGGUAGGUAGAGUAUACUAAGGGGCGCGAGAUAACUCUCUCUAAGGAACUCGGCAAAAUGACUCCGUAACUUCGGGAGAAGGAGUGCCUUAUUUUAUAAGGUUGCAAUAACAAGAUCCAAGCAACUGUUUACCAAAAACACAGGUCUCCGCUAAGUCGUAAGACGAUGUAUGGGGGCUGACGCCUGCCCAGUGCCAGAAGGUUAAAGAAGUUGGUUAGCAUUAGCGAAGCUGAUAACUGAAGCCCUGGUGAACGGCGGCCGUAACUAUAACGGUCCUAAGGUAGCGAAAUUCCUUGUCGGGUAAGUUCCGACCCGCACGAAAGGCGUAAUGAUUUGGAUACUGUCUCGGAGAGGGGCUCGGUGAAAUAGACUUGUCUGUGAAGAUGCGGACUACCUGCACCAGGACAGAAAGACCCUAUGAAGCUUUACUGUAACUUGAGAUUGAAAUUGGACUUUAUUUGCGCAGUAUAGGUGGGAGACGUUGAAAAUAUUCUUGCGGGAAUAUUGGAGUCAUCAGUGAGAUACCACUCUUAUAAUGUUAGAUUUCUAACUUUGUAUCAUUAUCUGGUCAAAGAACAGUCUCAGGCGGGCAGUUUGACUGGGGCGGUCGCCUCCCAAACGGUAACGGAGGCGCACAAAGGUUUCCUCUGAACGUGUAGAAAUCGUAUCUAGAGUGUAAAGGCAUAAGGAAGCUUGACUGUGAGACCUACAAGUCGAGCAGGGACGAAAGUCGGUCUUAGUGAUCUGACGGUGCUGAGUGGAAAGGCCGUCACUCAACGGAUAAAAGUUACUCUAGGAUAACAGGCUGAUCUCCCCCAAGAGUUCACAUCGACGGGGAGGUUUGGCACCUCGAUGUCGGCUCAUCGCAUCCUGGGGCGGUAGUACGUCCCAAGGGUUGGGCUGUUCGCCCAUGAAAGCGGUACGCGAGCUGGGUUCAGAACGUCGUGAGACAGUUCGGUCCAUAUCCGGUGUAGGCGUUAGAAUAUUGAGAGGAGCCUUCUUUAGUACGAGAGGACCGAGAAGGACAUACCUCUGGUGUACCAGUUAUCGUGCCAACGGUAAACGCUGGGUAGCUAUGUAUGGAGAGGAUAACCGCUGAAAGCAUCUAAGUGGGAAGCCCACCUCAAGAUAAGUAUUCUCU